rnacentral:lncRNA from 1 species
ACAUGGAGAUGCCACCAGAGAUGGCAUACGCUAUUGGGAUUGUGAAGCUUGUGGCCAAGGACAUGACCAGGAGUGUCAUUCAGCCUGAAAAUACUGACAACUGAAAACUAGCGAGAGGUUCUAAGGUCAGCCUCCACAAUAGGAAUAAUUUGAACCUUUUAAAGAUAGCCAUACUGCUUGUUAUCUGGGUCAACUAGAAAAGGCAUAUUGGCUAAAGAUUUGUCAUAAUUUAAGAAUUCAGCAUGGUAUCUCCCACCCACUUUCACCUCAAAAUAAGUGGAUUUUUCCUGUGGUGUAACCUUUCUUUUUCUGCAAAAAGGACAAGAAAUAGAAGAGAACGUGAAUUAGCUUCUCGUAGAAAUUGGAACCAGUGGCUUUUCAUUAAAACGAAUCUGGCUUGUUCUCUACCAGUUGCCUAAAUACAGAGUGGGAAGCCAAAACACAGAGGUAUUUGCUUAAGGCUUGCAAAUAAUUUUGCUGAUCUCAAUGUUAAAAUUUAAGAUUAAAAUCUUUACAAACCACAAUUUAAUUCAAUAAGCCCAGAAAGUGACUAAAGUCAAUGAUUGUACUGAGAUUGUGUAUAUUCCCCAGAGAUUAAUUUUGUCAGAAAUAAGAAAGCUGCCUAGCCUAUUUUUAAAGAGCCAAAUUGUGUUUUAGACUUUUAAGUUUCGUGUAUCUUAGCAACCCACAGAAUACGUACGCCUGAGAAAAGAGGAGAUUCACACUGCUGCAUGCUACAUUUUAUGGAAAUGUUAAGUUUAUGAUCUCCCAUUAUAUUUCUGGAUGAGAUAUUCCCUCUCCAAAAUGUAAUAAAGCUGCUUAAUUGUAUUGUAUUUCAUGGAAGAAAGGUACUUUGAGGUUUUCUUUGGUUUACAGAAUUUACAUAAUACUUUAGAGGAAUAAAUCAAAGAUUUCAGUACAUAGCUGGUACAAAGUUUUCACCACAGAGUUUAUAUAUAAUUGUAGAUUAUAAGGAGGCAUUUAUAAAGAUGAGAAUGUCUGUGUUACUUAUCUAAUUUCAUAUUUAGAGCUAACAAUUUUUAGGGAAAUUAAAUAUUCUGGGACUAGACAUCAUAUAUGUGUGUAAAUCAAUUCGUUAUACAUUUACUGAGCAUCUCCUGUGUGCCAUCCACUGUGCAAAGAACUAAAGAGAUCCAGAUGAAAAUGGCAGUUUCUGUCAUCAAUGUACUAACAUUCUAAGGGAUAAAACAAACUAAAAAAAGAAAUCAUACAAUGUAAUGAGAGAAAUAACAAAAGAUGUGUACUGGGAUAUCAUAUCUAUUGCAGUAUAAAGACACGACAUAUGCAGGCCUAAAUAGAUAACUUGUGUAUAGAAAAUACAUCAUUUUGAGCUCCUCUGCUCUAAACAGGCCAGCCCUGGUGGUCUAGUGGUUAAGAUCUGGCACUCUCAUUGCCACAGUUUGGAUUCAUUUCUGGUCGGGGAACCACACCACCUGUCUGUCGGUUGUCACACUGUGACAGCUAUGUGUGGCUGGGAUGCUGCAAGCUAUGCCACUGGUAUUUCAAAUACCAGCAGGGUCACCCAUAGUGGACAGGUUUCAGCAGAGCUUCCAGACUAAGGCUGGGAAGAAGGACCUGGUCACUCACUUCUGAAAACAUUGGCCAUGAAACCCUGUGAACAGCAGGGGAGCAUUGUCUGAUACAGCAUGGGAAGAUGCGAGGAUGGUGCCAAAAAGAGCGGGCAGGGUUUGGCUCUGCUGACCACGAGGUCACUGAGAGUGGAAAUCAACUCUCGGGUGCGAACAAACCCUAAACGGAUACAACACAUAAAUAUUUACAACUAAGAGGGGGAAAAAACUCCAUGUUUAUCUUGAAUCCUACUUAAUAGAUAUUUGGUAAAAUAGAUACUUUUUUCCCAAGUAGUUUGUUUGUCG